rnacentral:rRNA from 1 species
GUCCACGCCGUAAACGUUGGGCACUAGGUGUGGGCUCUUACCAACGGAGUCCGUGCCGUAGCUAACGCAUUAAGUGCCCCGCCUGGGGAGUACGGCCGCAAGGCUAAAACUCAAAGGAAUUGACGGGGGCCCGCACAAGCGGCGGAGCAUGUUGCUUAAUUCGAUGCAACGCGAAGAACCUUACCUGGGUUUGACAUGUAGGGAAAAGCCGUGGAGACACGGUGUCCUUCGGGGCCUUACACAGGUGGUGCAUGGCUGUCGU